GGGUUCAAAUUACUUGUUCAAGAUAAACACGUUAUCAGAAGAUUAAAAAUAAAGGAGAGGGAAACUUUAAAUUGGAUAGGCUUAUGGGAGAGAUUUAAUGGAAACUCUAUUAAAGUUACACUUCAAUGAAUCAUAACCCCUCCCAACGCUUUCUUUCAUCCUCAAAAGCACGCAUCUAGCAAACAGCAACAGCACAGAGCAGCCAAACUGCACAAGUCAAAACCACAUUAUUAUCACUGAUUAGUACAAUAAAAUAACCAUUAAUUAUUGGGUUUCCAACUCAAAUCAAAAUUAUUUAGUAUUUGAGGACAAAGGCAGAAAGAAAAAGCAAGUUGGCAUUUGCCUAAACAGCAUAAAGACAGGCUCAGAGGCUGCAAGUUGGAUAUCUAAAACCUGCAACCCGUGUAAGUUAGAUACAUUAUUGAUUAGAUACCCUUUUCUUCUCACAAAUAUAUGACCUUGUUCUUGUAUUUCACUAUUGUAGUUUUUCUUUAUAUUGGUAAAAAAAUGAAUCAUAAAACAGCCGAAUUGAGUUGAAUUUUGAGAUGAAUGAAGUAACCCAUUGUGCUAAAGCCAAUUAUUUUAUUAAAUAGUCACCAAAAGUCCAAAACAAAACCGCAAAAGUAUGACAUUGUACUUGGAAACAUCCAAAUUGCAGGAACAAAUAAUUACAAUGGCAGGCAUACAAGUACUAUGUUUUGCACAAAUCCCAAAAAUAUGUCUCAAUUUCUUGCUGGUUGACAUUGAGAUUUAAGGAUUCAAUAAGCAUUUUUUUCAUUAGAAAAACACUGAAUUUUUAAAAUAAUUUUUAAUACUAUAAUUACUAUAUUUAAAAAAAGUAUUUUUUGUAAAGCAGCAAGUUUUUGACCUUCAUCCAAACACGGUCUUUAAUGACCGAAAAAAGAACCUUCAGAAUUACCCAAAAAGAUGGAGGGCAAUAUGGGUAAUAAAUUGACCGAAGCAAAUCACGGUCUAUUUGCGCACCGUUAAUUGACGGGGACAAACAUGACAGAUUCCAAUUGACUCGGAUAAAAUGAAAUAUUCCCAUGGUAAUAUCUUGACUGAGUCGACUCGUUCUCGACGAGUUGAACCAAUACCACAGAUCUGGAUCCUCUAACCUCGGCUCAACAAUUUCACAUCUAGAAUUUAAAAAUGCAUGUUAGAGAAAGAGGGAGGGCAUACCAUCCUUCCAAACAGCCAACACUGCUGCUCUGUUGAGGAGGCGGCGGCUGACCGUACUGAGGGCCAUAACCUGGAGGGGGAGGACCAUAUCCCGGUGGAGGAUAACCUUGAGGAGGAUAUCCUUGUGCGGGAUAUCCCGGCGGGGGAUACGCGUCCUUAGGAUACCCUUCUGGUGGAUAACCUUGAGGAGGAGGAACACCAACAGGAGGCUGGUUCUGGUUGUAAUAGCUCAUUCUCUGUUGUUUUGCUUCUGGUAGGAGAGGGGUUUUGGGUAGAAGAGAGAUCUAAUUAUUUUGCUUUGAUUGAUUAGAAAGACUUUGAGAAUAUGAUGACAACUACCAGCUUUGGGAGAUAAGAUGAAUUUCUAUAAGGGAAAAAAACACCAGUAGUCCAGUUUUUAUAGGAACAACAAAGGACCAAG
rnacentral:misc_RNA from 1 species